CCCAAGUUCUUAGAACAAUGUCUAGCACAGCAAGCAUUCAGUCAUUAUCGAUUUUUAUUGCUGUUUGCAUAAAAAGUCUACCCUUCCCUGUUAAGAUUCAUAGCUAACAAUUCUUAGUGCUGGUUGUUGGCCAGGUUGCUAAGCAACAGUGCUCCAGAAUUUCUAUAUAUCAGAUUUUAAGCGGGGCUAGGGAAUUUCUCUUCAGCCGCAUUUGCAUAUUCUUCAACAAAAUAUUGAAAAACACCCAGCUAUCACCCUUACAUAGAUGCUCUUCAUUUUGGGGGUACUUUGUGAGGGAAGAUGAUGGAGAUUAUUUAGGGGCCUAAAAUUCUUUACCGAUAUCAUCUCAAUCCACGACAGCUUCAAGGUGAAUUCCCAGGAUGCUGAAAUAAGCAACCACAGAGCCCCGUGGUCCACUGUUGAAAGUGCCGCAUCACCCAUCUCUUCAUGCCAAGCCCAUUUGUUUUGACUCUGCCAGACAAGAAUGUGCACAGUGAAGGAGAGGAGUUCUGCGGAGUGAAGGGCAGAUGCAACAGUACUAAGAAUAUGACGGGAUGUUCAGAAGAGACAGGUGCAAAAUCUUCCCAAAGGCCGGCAGGCUGAGAAAUCCUGCUGCAGCUGCUCUUUCGUACCAGUCUCCGCUAAUUUUGUUCUAUUUGCCUCAAUCCCUUGUCCCAUAGAAAUGUAUCUGGGCACAGCUGGAAGUCUCUCUUUUUUCACAUCACUUCCUGCCCCACGAGACCUCUAUCCAUAGUAAGCCCUGUUUAUCAAGCUGCCGUUUUAAGCAUUUUGUUUCUAAUUAAAGCAUUUAAUCCUCAAAACUGCUCUACUGAAGUAAGACGACACUAUUUUAGAUGUGGGCAAAGAGUCUCUGAGAAGUGAAAUAAGGUACACAAUAUCUGUAUUAGUUCCUGUAGUUAUGGGAAUAUACGACCAUAACCUACGGGCUUAAAACCAUACAAAUUUGUUUAUUCUUACAGAUCUGGAGGACACAAGUCCAAAACCAGUCUUGCUGGGCUAAAGUCAAGGUAUUGCUAAGAGCUGCCACAUCCUUGGAUGUAGGAUCCACAUCCAUGGAUCCCUUCCUCACACCCUCCAACCUCAGCUCCUGGCAUCACAUCUCCUCCUCUUACCCUGACUCCCCUGCCUUUCUUAUGGGACCCUCGUGGUUAUAUCGAGGCCACCCAGAUAAUUCAGGAUAAUCUUUCUCCUGCAAGAUCUUUAGCGUAAUCACAGUGGUAAAGUCCCCUUUUCCAUGAGAGGUACCACAUUUAUGGUUUCCAGGGAUUAGGAUGUGGCAUUCUUUGGACACUGUUGUUCACAAUGUCACACAGCAUAACUGUCACAUUCCUCUAGGGAGCUCACUUCCUUAAAACGUGAUUUCCUUUCUUGCUUUCUUUUUUUGUUUUUUUUUGUUUUUUCAGGGCUGCACCUGCGGCAUAUAGAAGUUCCCAGACCAGGGGUUGAAUUGGAGCUACAGCCGCUGGCCUAUGCUGUAGACACGAGGGACCAGAGCCGUGUCUGUGACCUACACCACAGCUUAUGGCAACGCAGGAUCCCGAACCCAGGCCAGGGAUCCAACCCGCAUCCUCAUGGAUCCUAGUCGGAUUUGCUAACCAUUGAGCCAUGAAGGGAACUCCCUAAACUUUCUUUCUCUUAAGUAUUAUGUCCUGGAUUUGAAAGAACCCCCGUUUUUUUCUCCAUCUCUUCUGCAGCUAGAGCAGAAAUUCUCAGUGCUGGCUACACCUGAGAAUCACCUGGAGAACUCACAAAAUCUGCUCAAGCCAGGAUCUACCCCAAGUCAAUUAUAAUCAGAAUUUCUGGCCAUGGGGCUUGAGUUCUUGGCAAGUUAAUGCGCGUCUCCGGGUGAUUCUAAUACACAGUGACCUUCGAGAACCACCAGACCAGAGAGAGCACUGGCAGAUUCUCAAGUUUGAAGGUUAUCUGAGUCCAAGAUGGAAAGAUUAUCUAUAAAGAUAAAUGGCAGGAAAAUGAUUCUUGAAGUCAUUUGUCCCUGCUUUAGCAUCCUCGCCUGUGCCGCGACUCAGGUGCAUGACCUUGGGCAAGUUACCUGAUGUCUGUGGUCUCAGUUUCUGUUUUGUUUUGCUUUUGUUCAGCUAAUUAUAGCUCCUAAGUUGUGGGGUGGGGGGCUCAUCAAUCAAGACCUUGAAUGAGAAGCCCUUUAGCUGCGUGCUGAUAGGCCCCCAAUAGAGGGCAGUGUAGCCCUCUUUGCAAACCGCCCCCCGCCCCAAACAGGCUUGAGAACAGAGGUCGCUGAGCUUGUCCUAAUAAUAGAAUUUCUUUGGCUCUAAUUUUCCAGCUCGGAGAU
rnacentral:lncRNA from 9 species